rnacentral:rRNA from 1 species
GAUGAACGCUGGCGGCGUGCUUAACACAUGCAAGUCGAACGAUGAAGCCCAGCUUGCUGGGUGGAUUAGUGGCGAACGGGUGAGUAACACGUGAGUACCCUGCCCUUAACUCUGGGAUAAGCCUGGGAAACUGGGUCUAAUACCGGAUAGGAGCUUCCACCGCAUGGUGGGUGUUGGAAAGCUUUAUCGGUUUUGGAUGGACUCGCGGCCUAUCAGCUUGUUGGUGAGGUAAUGGCUCACCAAGGCGACGACGGGUAGCCGGCCUGAGAGGGUGACCGGCCACACUGGGACUGAGACACGGCCCAGACUCCUACGGGAGGCAGCAGUGGGGAAUAUUGCACAAUGGGCGCAAGCCUGAUGCAGCGACGCCGCGUGAGGGAUGACGACCUGCGGGUUGUAAACCUCUUUCAGUAGGGAAGAAGCGAAAGUGACGGUACCUGCAGAAGAAGCACCGGCUAACUACGUG